GGAUCCUUCCUUCAUGAUUUUCAGCACAGGGGAGCUCUCCUUUCUGCAGUGUGGAGGAGCGCUGGGCAGGAGGCGGCGCUGAGGCCACGGGGACCAGUUCCACAUCCCAUAGAGUGUUGCCCAGAGCUCUACCCUCGUGGUGGUCCCACUCAGGGGUGGUGAGGAGGGGGACGGAGCCUGGCGGUGCAACAGCCUGAGGCCUGAGAUGGUGUUCGCUGUGCGGCCACGAUCUGCUCCCAUUGGCCAGGCAACGAGGAGAAACCACCGUCUCCUUCCACAGGUAACUGGCCGCCACUGCCCAGUCAGCCCCCCAUGAGGUCCAGCCCGAGGUGGGCAGCACUUUGUGCUCGGGGCCUGUCCAGCAGGGAGCCUGCCUUGAUCUCUGCAAUCAGGAAUGUGGCUGAGCAAAUGCAGCUUGUAACUGCUGGAUGGAUACACCUCCCAGAUGCUCUGUUGCUAGAAGGUUCCUGGCAGUGCAGGGAAAGGUGGCUCUGCAGGUGGAGGUGAGUGCUGGAGAGGUGUCUGACAGCAUCCUGGGCAGAGCAGGUCAAGGCCCACUCCUCAUGGGAAGGCUGACCCUGUGGACUUGGACUC